CAGCUCCCCACCCUUAUUAUACACAUCAGAAUACUUCUUUUCUUCACUGUAAUAUGAAUGAUAAUAGCUAUUUAAUGGGCACACUUGCUCUCAAAGUUGUACUGAGAAUCUAUUUUCAAUGAGCCAUGAAAUCUAGCUCAGAAUUGGUCUGACCCUAUCUAUCUUCAUUGCUGUUCCCUUGGCUCUGUUCCCUCAAGAGCAUUCCCUUCCACUCCCAUGUACUAUACACAUCCAAGAGCUUGUUUGGGUUAUGAGUCAGAAGAUAAGAGACUGCCUCCUGAUCUAUAGCUGUAACUGGAAUGCUUCUGGAGCCUCUCAGAUGUGUGUGAAUCUCUGAGGUGACCACUGGACAUCAAAACAGUAUGGAGCUGGUUACUUCAACAUCAUGCAGCUGGUGACCAACUAUACCACCCUGAAAUAGUACAGUGUGAAUGAACAGACAAUCACUCAUUGUGAUGCUGGUGAGAAGGCAAAAGGUACAGCCAGUAGCUUUCAGAUCAAGGGCACUAUCACCAGUGGAACAAAGAUACACGUAAAUUGAAGAAGCAUGUCUUGCAAUAGUGUGUAAAGGACUUUGAGUACAUUCAAGAGCAGUACAUUUGAGUACCAUUUAACUGGAUAAUGACCAUAAACCGCUAUAGAGCAUUUAAAAAAAAUACUGCUAGUGGGACCAAAAUUCCUCCAGCGCAUGCUGUUGAAACUGCAAUGUUACAACUUAGAUGUACACUACAAGAAAGGCACUGAGAUGUACAUAGCUGACUUAUGUAGAGCAGCCUUGCAACAUGAAAAUAUGGCAACUGAACAAGACUAACAUCCAUCUGAUAGAAAUGCAGGAAUCACAGAAAGACAUGGAGAGCAUCCCUCAAGCCAACUAUGUGCCAGUUUCAAGGCAGGGGCUGGAAUGAAUAUGAGAACAAAUUAAACAAGACAAAGAUAUACACAUGGUCAUGUCUGUCAUUCUGUCAAGAUAGCCAGACACCAGAGGGAAGACCCAUCUGCUGCUCAAAAGUACUGGAACAAGAGAGAUGAACCUAGCGUACAAGAUAUCCUAUAUAAAGAUACGAUUUUGUCAAGGUAAAAUUAAACAAAAUUCACACAACAGUCAUUUGGGGAGGAAAUCAGGGUAUGGUCACAGCGGGGCUGAAACAGAAUCCAAAGCCCCUGCUGAUAGCCCAUGCCCUGCCACCCAGGGUUGAAGCUGAAGCAGUCAGAGGUCUGUUAUAGUCACAGAAUCCAUGACCGCUGUGACCAGAUCAUAUCCUUAAUCAGAUAUAAAGGGUGUCAAAUCAUAAUAUCUAAAUCACUGCGAACCAGAACACUCAAGAAUAGGUUAGACAUUCUGGAAUAGAAGCCUGUAUCUAGAAACCAGAGAUACUGCAAACUGGCCAAACUUGAUCCAGGAUAUCCAGGACCUGGCGAGCAGUUGCGAUAGAUGUGGGGAAAUGAAGGCCAAGCAGCAAAAAAACACAAUGAAAACACAUAGCAUCCCUGACAGACCUUGAAGCAAAGUAGUAAUGGACCUUUUCACCACAAAACCAUACAAACUACCUCAUUACUGUAGACUACUAUGCAGACAAGUGGGAGAACUAGACAGACUGUCAGAUGUUACCGCAGUGACCUUCAUAGCCAAAACACUGAAGCAUUUCAGGAGGCAAUGUAUACCAGACUGUGGCCUGUUGUCUGAAACUACACAGUUUACUUACAAGUGAGUUUUUGCAACUUACCCGGGAAUGGGUAUUCAAUCACAUCAUCACCACCACCACCACCACCACAACACAGCUGGUCAAAUGGCAAAGUCAAAUCAGUAGUUAAAAUUGCUAAGACUCCAUUGAAGAAAGCUUCAAAAAGGAAAGAAGCUAUAUGACAAGCUAUUCUCGAUGGAGAGACAGUCCCACAGAUGGCCUUAAGGGCAGCUUGGUAUAAUGCCUGAAAUGACACAAGUGUGUUCGUUGAUGCCUAUAGCCCCAGCAUGACUAAAACUAGUGGAGUACUAGACAAAAAGGAAGAGACACACAAAAAGGCCAAAUCCUGCCAUGACUGACAAGCUAAAUACACUACAACUGGAAGACCCUGUCAGGUUUCAAUUAUUUCUUCAGGGCAAAUCACACAUUUGGAAGUAAGCUACACGUGUUGUACAGAUAAAUCCUAGUUCAUGUAACAUAGCAGUGGAUAGGCAUACAACACAAUGAAACUGCAAAGGUAUUUGCCUACGACAAACACAGAACAAAAACAUGGAUGAGGAGGACUGUGAAAUAAGUAUUCCAGUGAGACCUGAUCAGCAGGACUUGGGAGGGAACAUAGGAUGACAAGUGACUGAUACAUAUUGAAACAGACUCUCCAAAUACCACCCUACCAGAAGCACUAAGUGCUGGGCAGGCUCCUGCCAUGACAUGAAAAAACUCUCUCUCUCCACCAUCAAAUCAUCUGCAAGAUGUACACAAUACUUUGUACAAUACCAAAUGGUGAAAGAACAACCCUCCCAAACCCAGAGGAAAAAACACUUAAAAUCUUAAACAUGUAAUCAGGCUAGGAUAUUCAUGUUUACUUAAAUCAUCCAUCUUAAAUGUGACUGAAGAGACAAUAGACAGCUUCCCAAUAGGGGGCAUUAUGGUAUUAUAACAUUCUUAUGUAUAGGAUAACAUCUAGGAACUUAGAUAAGUCAACUUUCAGUGCUUGAUGGGAGAGAACAGUAUAUAUGGAAGAAGAAAUAAAGCUUGAAUAUUGUAUUGUUUUGACUUUUUAAAUGCUUUAUCACUGAACAAAAUGGUCUACCAUAAGCUUCUGCUUGACUCCUAAAACACAGAAAGUUGCAAAAAUAGUAUCUCUUGUUCCAGAGUUCAGAGUGUGCAGUAACCAUUAAUUUAUGGAAAGAUCCUUGAUGAAGACAACAAAAAUAAAACACUGCAAGUUCUUCACAUUAUCAGAUCUAUCCAGCACUAAUGGGGCUAUUUUUCCAUCUUUUCUAAAGAGUUUUUAAACUGUACAUACAGAAUGGAAAUUUGACCAUUUAAAUUAAAAUGAAAAGAUAUUCAAAACCAGCUUGUCAACUGUUUUUUUUAUUUCAGAAGUGCAGACUUCCAGAAAAUAAAGAAACUAGUUAAAGAAGUCAACUGGACUGAAGCUCAAGAACUUAAAUGUAGAGGAAACUUAGAAUUUAUUCAAGUUAGUUUUUGUUUAACUAUCUGAAAUUUUCAUCUGCAGCAAGAGGAUGAAUUUUGUAGGUAUAGGAUCCAGACCCAGCUGGGUUAAGAACCAUCUCUAAGAGGUUAUUAGAAAGCAGAGAGCCUAAGAGGUUGAUCAACAAAGAAAGCUACAUCAUGGAAAUUGGAAAGUGUAGGACUAAAGAGAAUUGCUAAGUGUCAGACUGAAUUGACUCUUGCCAAGGAAGUUAAAAUAAAGGUGUUUAGUUAUUGUCAACUGCUCUUGGGGCAGUUUCUCUAGAAACCCCACUUUCUCCUAACUAGUUUUCCUCUAUUUAUCUCAAAUUAGACUAGUUCAUCAAUUUAACCUAAAAUAAGUCAAUUAAACUCCAGCAUUUAUAGUUUUCCUUUCUCUCCCUGUCAGUGUCUUAGCAGUAGCCUAGUAUGGCGCUAUAAUCUCUCUGUUAUCCCAACUCCUUUUGACUCCUCAUCUGUCGCUGUUCUCCUUCCUUUAUAGCUAGGCUUGUUUUCCUUAUUGGGCCCAGCUGUGGGUGCAUGCCUCCAUGAUUGGCAGUUCUGGCAGCUGUGCUGGGGCGGGGUCAGCCUGGUUGCUUAUAAGUGCAGAAAAUUCUCCUUUCCUUGCUAUCUCUGUUUAGUAUGUGGUUUGUAAAGCCCAUUAUAGCUAUAGAAAGAAAAAGGAAGGAUGAGAUUAGACUGUUAUGUAGUGUAGAUAGGAAGGAGAUUAAAAAUAAUCUAAGUAUGGUCCCAAAGCUAAAUACUUUGUCUUGGUUUACAAUAUGGAGGAUAAUAUAGAAAAUGCACAUGAAGAUAGUAUGGCUGGUGGAAAGAAAUGUCUAGUAAUGGAAAUUACCACACUAAGGUAGAAGAAAAACUUAGAGUUUAAUGCACCCAAACUGGAUAAAUUUCAUCUCAGAAUAAUGAAAGAACUAGUAACUGGGUGUGUGGGUCAAUCACUGGAAGAUUGAGCUACCCAUGUGAUGUGGCUGUAAAAAAGGCAAAUGCAGUUUUAGGAUUUAGCAGGUAUUUCCAGGAGAGAUAGAGAAGUGUUGAUACCAUUGUACAAGGCACUGGUAAGGCUUCACUGGAAAACUGUCUACAAUUCUGGUCAUCCAUAUUGCAGAAAAAAUAAUUCAAACUAGAAUUGAUAUAGAACUACUAAGAUGAUUAGGGGAAUGAAAAUGCUAUUUUAUGAGAGGAGACUAAAAGAGCUUGGCUUCUUUAGUUUAGCAAAAAGAUGGAUGAAAGGGAUUGUGAUUAGAGCUGAAUGAGUAAUAGAUUUUUUUGGGUUUGGGAGCUGAACUGAAAAAAACCCCCAAAACCUGGUUCAGUUCACUGAAGAUGUUACUAUGCCAACAAGAGAGUUUCUCUUGUCAGUGUAGUUAAUCCAUCUCCAUGAGACAUGGUACCUAUAUUGAUGGGAGAAGUCCUCCCAUUGAUAUAGCACUGUCUACACCAGGGGUUAGAUCAGUAAAACUGUGUCACUCAGGGAUAUGGAUUUUUCACACCUCUGAGUGACUUUGGUAUACCAAUCUUAAAUUUAUAGUGGUCUUCUUCAACACCAGACUCCAUGUUGCCUUCCUCAUUACCUUUCAAAGCAAAGUUUAUUCAGACAAUCUUUAGAAGACUCUACUUCAAAGAUUCACCAGUCUAUAAAAGAAAGGGGCAACCCUCCCUGCAACCUCUCUCUCUUUCAUCUAAGACCAGUGCUUUUCAGACUCUAGGAAUGAUCUUGACCCAGGAAAGAAUCAGUCACCGUCUUGUUGGACAAUUGUGGGUGAGAGAGGCUAUCUUAAACAGAACCUUGAACCGCAAAUGCUAGAUUAAGUUUUAGACUUUUAAAUGUUUCCCUUUUAUUUGCUUGUAACCAUUUCUAACUUUAUCUCUUAU